rnacentral:tRNA from 1 species
GCCUCAGUAGCUCAGCCCGGUAGAGCAUCUGAUUUGUAAUCAGACGGCCGGGGGUUCGAAUCCCUCCUGGGGCUCCA